rnacentral:lncRNA from 1 species
CAUGAAAAAAGUUAGUUCCUUUCACAUAUGCAUUUUCUUUUUACUGUUUUAACAGGAAAACAGAUUGCUCUGUUGAGAGUAAGUGGAACGUGCCUCCGUGGAAGUAUUCAAAUCUCAAGUGGGCAAGGCCCUGUGCAAAUUGCUCUCAGUUUGGAGCCCUGAGCAGUGGCUCUAGAGGUCCCUUCCAAUUUUUCCAAGCUGCUGGGUACCUGCAUUGUGCCUUUCUAGCUCAUCUAAGCCAUGCAUUGCAACUCCUUUCCUUGGAAGUGCACUGAUGAAAGACCUGUCUGCAUUUCAGCUUUUUGCAGUCAGCUUCCUUCUUGGACUUCACACACCAGUCUGUAGCUGGAUACUCCAGAACCAGUUGAGGCAAUGACAAAUACAACAGACAGCUCCCACAAAGGUAGGAAGUUUUCUGGACACUCUGUUGGAGCCCAGCCCACUGGACUUUUUCCGCCUUAGGUAUUCUUGGGUCUCCUGGUGCUGUAACAUGACCUGUUAUUAUC